CUACCCGCUGAACUUAAGCAUAUCAAUAAAGCGGAAGAAAAGGAUAUUAUUGAAUUU
rnacentral:rRNA from 1 species